GACGAACGCUGGCGGCGUGCUUAACACAUGCAAGUCGAACGAAGAGCGAUGGAAGCUUGCUUCUAUCAAUCUUAGUGGCGAACGGGUGAGUAACGCGUAAUCAACCUGCCCUUCAGAGGGGGACAACAGUUGGAAACGACUGCUAAUACCGCAUACGAUCUAACCUCGGCAUCGAGGAUAGAUGAAAGGUGGCCUCUAUUUAUAAGCUAUCACUGAAGGAGGGGAUUGCGUCUGAUUAGCUAGUUGGAGGGGUAACGGCCCACCAAGGCGAUGAUCAGUAGCCGGUCUGAGAGGAUGAACGGCCACAUUGGGACUGAGACACGGCCCAGACUCCUACGGGAGGCAGCAGUGGGGAAUCUUCCGCAAUGGACGAAAGUCUGACGGAGCAACGCCGCGUGAGUGAUGACGGCCUUCGGGUUGUAAAGCUCUGUUAAUCGGGACGAAAGGCCUUUCUUGCUAAUAGUUAGAAGGAUUGACGGU
rnacentral:rRNA from 1 species